CACACCGGGCGACAGCACGUUGAAUGCACCAGUUCCCCACGGAUCACUGAAGUUAAACAACGUUGCGCGUGGUUAGUACCUGGAUGGGUGACCAUCUGGGGAAUCCGCGUGCUGCUGGGU
rnacentral:rRNA from 1 species